UGAUGCGGUAGAGGAGCGUUCUGUAAGCCUGUGAAGGUGAGUUGAGAAGCUUGCUGGAGGUAUCAGAAGUGCGAAUGCUGACAUGAGUAACGACAAUGCGAGUGAAAAACUCGCACGCCGAAAGACCAAGGUUUCCUGCGCAACGUUAAUCGACGCAGGGUUAGUCGGUCCCUAAGGCGAGGCUGAAAAGCGUAGUCGAUGGAAAACAGGUUAAUAUUCCUGUACUUCCAGUUAUUGCGAUGGAGGGACGGAGAAGGUUAGGCCAGCCUGGCGUUGGUUGUCCAGGUUUAAGGUGGUAGGCUGAAAUCUUAGGCAAAUCCGGGAUUUCAAGGCCGAGAGCUGAUGACGAGUUGCCUUUAGGCGACGAAGUGGUUGAUACCAUGCUUCCAAGAAAAGCUCCUAAGCUUCAGAUAACUGGGAACCGUACCCCAAACCGACACAGGUGGUUAGGUAGAGAAUACCAAGGCGCUUGAGAGAACUCGGGUGAAGGAACUAGGCAAAAUGGCACCGUAACUUCGGGAGAAGGUGCGCCGGCGAAGGUGAAGGGCUUGCCCCGUAAGCUUUUGCUGGUCGAAGAUACCAGGCCGCUGCGACUGUUUAUUAAAAACACAGCACUCUGCAAACACGAAAGUGGACGUAUAGGGUGUGACGCCUGCCCGGUGCCGGAAGGUUAAUUGAUGGGGUUAGCGCAAGCGAAGCUCUUGAUCGAAGCCCCGGUAAACGGCGGCCGUAACUAUAACGGUCCUAAGGUAGCGAAAUUCCUUGUCGGGUAAGUUCCGACCUGCACGAAUGGCGUAACGAUGGCGGCGCUGUCUCCACCCGAGACUCAGUGAAAUUGAAAUCGCUGUGAAGAUGCAGUGUAUCCGCGGCUAGACGGAAAGACCCCGUGAACCUUUACUAUAGCUUUGCACUGGACUUUGAAUUUGCUUGUGUAGGAUAGGUGGGAGGCUUUGAAGUGGGGACGCCAGUUCUCAUGGAGCCAUCCUUGAAAUACCACCCUGGCAACUUUGAGGUUCUAACUCAGGUCCGUUAUCCGGAUCGAGGACAGUGUAUGGUGGGUAGUUUGACUGGGGCGGUCUCCUCCCAAAGAGUAACGGAGGAGUACGAAGGUGCGCUCAGACCGGUCGGAAAUCGGUCGUAGAGUAUAAAGGCAAAAGCGCGCUUGACUGCGAGACACACACGUCGAGCAGGUACGAAAGUAGGUCUUAGUGAUCCGGUGGUUCUGUAUGGAAGGGCCAUCGCUCAACGGAUAAAAGGUACUCCGGGGAUAACAGGCUGAUACCGCCCAAGAGUUCAUAUCGACGGCGGUGUUUGGCACCUCGAUGUCGGCUCAUCACAUCCUGGGGCUGAAGCCGGUCCCAAGGGUAUGGCUGUUCGCCAUUUAAAGUGGUACGCGAGCUGGGUUUAGAACGUCGUGAGACAGUUCGGUCCCUAUCUGCCGUGGACGUUUGAGAUUUGAGAGGGGCUGCUCCUAGUACGAGAGGACCGGAGUGGACGAACCUCUGGUGUUCCGGUUGUCACGCCAGUGGCAUUGCCGGGUAGCUAUGUUCGGAAGAGAUAACCGCUGAAAGCAUCUAAGCGGGAAACUUGCCUCAAGAUGAGAUCUCACUGGGAUCUUGAAUCCCCUAAAGGGCCGUCGAAGACUACGACGUUGAUAGGUUGGGUGUGUAAGCGCUGUGAGGCGUUGAGCUAACCAAUACUAAUUGCCCGUGAGGCUUGACCAU
rnacentral:rRNA from 2 species